rnacentral:rRNA from 1 species
CACGUAGUUAGCCGGGGCUUCUUAGUCAGGUACCGUCUGGCGACCCAAAGGUCGCUACUUCUUCCCUGCUGAUAGAGCUUUACAUACCGAAAUACUUCUUCACUCACGCGGCGUCGCUGCAUCAGGGUUUCCCCCAUUGUGCAAUAUUCCCCACUGCUGCCUCCCGUAGGAGUUUGGGCCGUGUCUCAGUCCCAAUGUGGCCGUUCACCCUCUCAGGCCGGCUACUGAUCGUCGCCUUGGUGAGCCAUUACCCCGCCAACAAGCUAAUCAGACGCGGAACCAUCGUAUACCACCAGAGUUUUUCACACCACUUCAUGCGAAGCUGUGCGCUUAUGCGGUAUUAGCACCUAUUUCUAAGUGUUAUCCCCCAGUAUACGGCAGGUUUUCCACGCGUUACUCACCCGUCCGCCACUAACUCAUAAAUCACUAGGUUUCAAUAUGAGUCCGUUCGACUUGCAUGUGUUAAGCACGCCGCCAGCGUUCAUCCUGAGCCAGGAUCAAA